rnacentral:rRNA from 1 species
UACGUAGGGUGCGAGCGUUAAUCGGAAUUACUGGGCGGAAAGCGUGCGCAGGCGGUUUGGUAAGACAGAUGUGAAAUCCCCGGGCUUAACCUGGGAACUGCAUUUGUGACUGCCCGACUGGAGUGCGGCAGAGGGGGAUGGAAUUCCGCAUGUAGCAGUGAAAUGCGUAGAUAUGCGGAGGAACACCGAUGGCGACGGCAAUCCCCUGGGCCUGCACUGACGCUCAUGCCCGAAAGCGUGGGGAGCAAACAGG